GGCGAACUGUCCCAGGCCCCAGGCAAAGGUGGUCAGGGGGAAUGGGGCUCAGGCAUUGCUAAGCAAACGGCACCACUGGUGGUCUCCAGCGCCAGAGGAGGUUUAACUUCUUUAGAUUCUACGUGUAAGUAAUAUCAUUACCCUCGGUUUCUUUAUAUGCAGAAUAAGAAUCAGCUCUCACUUGGAGAAGAUGAGGAUAAAUUAGCUAUUUUUGGAGAUAAUCAUUCAUCAGGGUGAAUACAUUUAUGCCAGGAGACAGAAGGUGUCAUCCUCUGGAGAAACUGAACUAGAGAGGCUCUGGACUUGGACAUACCAGGCUCUGAGGAAUGGAGUACCUUUCCCUGAUGUUCUUCAAGUGUCUGAUGAACAUGGAUGAAGAUGGUUAAGGCCAUAUUUAAAUCUUCUUGUAUUUUAAGUUCAGUAUUAACAUUUUUCUAUCUUUGAAGUAGGAAAAUUGAAUCAUAGAGAAGGAAACAUGAUUUACUCAAUCAUACAAAACUGUUAAGGAAUCAUGAGUAGGACCCUACUCUCUUAGUUUUCCCUUUUGAACUUUUAUUUUUAACAAAUCAGUUAUUGAUAUAAUUAUUGAUGUACAUUGAAAACAUGGAUUUCAUAUUCAGGGGAGUGGUUUUAGAUGCAUUCUUUGUAUGGCACUAUAUUUCUGCUACAUUUCAUUGGCUGUUAAGGUAUAGACGACAUUAUCACUACCAUAUUCAUUGAAAACCCAUAUUAUUUUGAACAUAUUAAGAUGGAUCAUACUUUAAGAAAUUCACUUGCUCAAAGCCUAAUUGACCUCUGUGUCUAACGUGAACUAAGUAAAAGAUAGGAUUAGACAUUUGGAAAGUACUAAGUUCUAGCUACAACAGAAUGACAUAGAGGGCAAGCAGUUUAGGGUCAUAGUCUAGGAAGUCUGAGAUGUAAUCUCAUUUCUACUCCUGUAUGCACAUCUCAAAAUAAAUUACUCUUUGUGGUAAUUUGCUUCCUUGAUAAUGAAAAAAAUGAUGUUCAUUCUGUCCCACAUCUGCUUUAAAAACUACUUUUUUUUCCAGUGGCCCCCUCAUAGGGUCAAGUCUUAAUUUCUAACCUUGUCCCAUAGGAUCAUUAAUAACUGGCCAACAGACCCAAAUAAUUUAGAAUUCUUUUGUUAUAUAUGACAGAAAAUAUAACUUAAAAUGGCUUAGGUAAAUAUGGAAAUCUACUGGCUAGUAUAGGACUUCCCUGGUGGUGCAGUGGUUAAGAAUCUGCUUGCCAAUGCAGGGGACACGGGUUCUAUCCCUGGUCCAGGAAGAUCCUACAUGCCACAGAGCAACUAAGCCCGUGAGCCACAACUACUAAGCCUGCACUCUAGAGCCCACAAGCCACAACUACUGAGCCUGUGUGCCACAACUACUGAAGCCCACACACCUAGAGACUGUGCACCGCAACAAAGAGUAGCCUCCACUCACUGCAACUAGAGAAAGCCUGUGCACAGCAACGAAGACCGAACGCAGCCAAAAAUAAAUUAAAAAUAAAAUAAAUUUAUUAAAAAUAUAUAUAUAUAUCAGCUAACAUAACUGCAAAGUCUAGGGGUUACUGGUUUCAGUCAUGCUUUGAUCCAGGAGCUGGAUGGUAUCACUGGGACUUACUCCCUCUCUUCAUCUCUCAGUUCUUCCUUCUGCUAUAUUGAAUCAUUUCCUGGCACAAAGUGCUCACCUGUCAGCAGCUCCAAGCUCACAGCAUUGUUACUAUUAGCAAUUUCAGAAGAUAAGACCAUGUGGCUCUCUUAGUAAAAGUCUCAUUGCGUCUUAUUGCCCAUUCCUGAAUCAUCUCUACAAAUUGAGGACUAUGACAUUGAUUCACCAGGUCUGAGUCACAUAUUCACUCCUGGACUGUGGUUAGAGUCAAUCCUACCCAAAGUUCAUCCAGUCAGAAAAGAGGGAGAGGGUGAUUUGCAAGAUGAAAUUACAAGAAGAAGGUUAAAGGGAUGCAGAGCAGCAAAAACAAUUGUCUACUAUAAGACUUCCUAACUUAUUUGUUGCUAUACUUCCCUCUAUAAACCGCUGCUCAUGUAGGUCAGUCUAUUUAUUUCUCCUGAUACAUCAUGCACAUUCUCAUCUUUCCCACAUAGAGGAUUGUGACCAAUUUAUCUCUAAGUACUACCCAUUUUUUUAAUUCCUCAUGGAGUUUCUUGUGGAUACAUUUUUCUUUCCCCCUUGAGAAUUCGUUAGUUAGACCACUCAGGUAAGUAUAUUAGGAUGAAAAUAAAUGAGAAUGAUGUUGUCAUAAGAACAACUUUCAAUUCUGUAUGUGUGUGUGUGUGUGAAAUAAAGUGCAAACUCUGAUAAUGGUUACGUUAUGGAACUUAAUUAUGGAUACACAUUACUAUGACAUGCUGCACAAUUUAUAGUAACGUAUUGCUGUAUUGAGGCAUCAUGGUUGAGAACUGAUAAUUUAUACUGCUCACCUGGUUCUUCCCCUUAGGUCAGAGCUAUUGACUCAUACUAUAUUAUUUUUUUCUAACGUAUUAAUUUUAUAUGAUUUAUUAUUAUUAUUUAUUUAUUUAUUUUUAAUUUUGGCUGUGUUGGGUCUUCGUUUCUGUGCGUGGGCUUUCUCUACUUGUGGCGAGCGGGGGCCACUCUUCAUCACGGUGCGUGGGCCUCUCACUGUGGCGGCCUCUGUUGUUGUGGAGCACAGGCUCCAGACGCGCAGGCUCAGUAGUUGUGGCUCAUGGGCCCAGUUGUUCCGCGGCAUGUGGGAUCGUCCCAGACCAGGGCACGAACCUGUGUCCCCUGCAUUGGCAGGCAGAUUCUCAACCACUACGCCACCAGGGAAGCCCCUAACGUAUUAAUUUUAUAUGAUUUUUAAACAUAUCACAAAACUGGAAAAUGCUGGGUCUUCCCUGGUGGUCCAGUGGUUAAGAAUCCGCCUUCCAAUGCAGGGGAUGUGGGUUUGAUCCCUGGUCGGGGAAUUAAGAUCCCAUAUGCUGUGGGGCAAGUAAACCCGUGUGCUGCAACUAGAGAGAAGCUUGCACACC